rnacentral:rRNA from 1 species
AUGGUCGACGGCGCGGCGGAUGAGCGCGAGCCCCAUCCUCGACCCCAGGAAAUGGCCUCGCUGCCAAUCCCCGACGAGCUAUCGGUGGAGAUAUUCCUCCGCAUUCCCAACCCAGCCGACCUUCUCCGCGCCUCCGCCGCCUGCGUCUCCUUCCGCCGCCUCAUUGCCGACCGCUCCUUCCUCCGGCAGUACCGCAAGCUCCACGCUCCGCCCCUUCUCGGCCUCCUCGACCACGAACGCAAGGUCUUCUACCCCGCGGUCCCGCCUCACCCCUCCGCGCCGGCAGCCGGCGCCGCGGCCCUAGCUGCCGACUUCUCCUUCUCCUUCCUCCCCGCCCCCGCCACCGAUUGGCGCGUCCAGGACGUCCUCAGCGGCCGCGUCCUCCUCGACAGAGUCCCCCCAGCACGACAUCGAUAA